UGGGCUGUUUAUAUGUGUGUAUAUGCAUGACUGGUUGAUUUGGUGUGCGCGGUAUGCACGAGUAUGUAUGAACUCAUUGGCUUGCUUUGACUAGCUCGCUGGCGUGCUUUCCACCGUCAAUGCUGUCCCUGUUGCUGUUGUUGUAUUGGAGCCGACAGUGCCCGAGUUGUUGGUAGUCAUUGCUGGCUUGCGGGGCUAGGAUGCUUUUUGGCAGCGCUGUUGCUUGUUUCGUUGUUGUUGUUUUUGUUGCUUGUUAUGGCUGUUUUGUAAUACCACCGUGUUGUUGUUGUUGCUAUUGCAUUGCCAUUUAUGUUGUUGAUUACAUGUGUAUGUGUGUAUGUAUGCAUGCCUGUUUGAUUAUUAUUGCUGUUGUUGUUGCUGGUUAUGCGAGUGUUGCUUGCUGUUGCUGUUGCUGCGUUCUCCCGAUUUGGCUGGGCCUGCUCUUCGUGGCCAUGUCACAUUUAGUUUUGUUCGGUAAUUCGGCGCGUAAGCAGCAAGAAAAUUAGAAUUUUCCGUUUUACCGCAUUUUGCAGCCAAUAAUCGCCAGUCGGAGAGGAAAACCGUUUAAACAAAAUACAAAAACAAAACAAAAGCAGCAAAGCUACUUCGCUGAGAGUCGUACGUCGUUCUUUGAGUCGUGUGUGUGCGCGAUUUGUGUUUUUUUCGUUUUUUGUUUUACUACUUCGAGUGCUCUUGUUGUUGUUUAUUGCUGCCAGUUUAGCGCCCAAAUGGUGGGAGCGUAAAAUAGAUUGAAAGCGCGAGUGCGCGAAAAACUAGAAAAACACCAUAAAAAAAGUAAAAUACUAAUUAAAACAAAAUAAAAUCGUUCAAUGAUAAUACGCGAAUUUAAGUAUCAUAUGGAUAAAUUUGCGUUGCCAGCGCGAAUGCUAAAGUGAGAGAAACAUAUGUACAUACAUAAGUACAUAUCUAACGGUAAUAAUGUGUUCGCGUUUCCAAGAAACACUCGUGCAUUUUGGAUUUGCACGACGGCAAUAAUGUAAUGAUUACUCGCCGCCACUUGAAUUUGUCGCGAAACACAUUCUGGAUUUAUGGACAAUUACUUCGCAAAGUUUCUGCAAUUUCGCUGCUGGCGUAGUUCGUAAGUAAAGGUGUCGUCGUAUACGCUCAAUGAGUUGAUAAAUGAGCGGUGUCUCUACAAUAGCUCGUCGCUCAUUUCAGCGUUUGUCUGUGGCUGACGGCGAAUUCGAUUCAGUUGGCGUGCGCUGAUCAAUUGACGUUGACUUGGUAAAAUCGCUCGUAGGGCACUUAUAUAAUAUAUAUUUAUAUACAUACAUAUGUAUAUGACUACGGCGUGUCUAGUGUUGAAAGAUCAAAGAAUCUAAAUUUUGAAAAAUUUACAAAAAUUGGUACUUUUUAUGCAAGGAAAUUGCGCAAAUAGUGUUGAAAAUAUUUUAAUUAAUUACAAUAGUGUUUGAAAUAUGCGCAAAAGUGAUACUGGGUGCUACAAAAGUGUGUGUUCGGUUAAAAGAAUUAAUAACAACAACAAAAAUAAAUAAAUUCACUUACAUAUAAACAUGAAAAGUUAGUGCGGUGCCAAAUUGCGUUGCAAAUUCCGCAGCAACAGGAAUUUCCGGCGCUUCUAAGAAAACAAAAACCGUCUAAAUCGACUUCGUCAAGUGUGUGUGUGUUUGUGUUAGUGUAGGCAGUGUUGCCGCGGAAGUUGGGCGCAGAAUAUACUAAGUACAACAACAAUAAUUUUUUUUUUGUUUUCGUGUAGAAAAAACAACAAGUUUCAAAGAAAAUACAACAACAACCAAAUUAACAUUAAUAUGUUUUGCGUCCUAAAAAGUGUAAAAAACAAAGAUAAAAUUUCAUAAAAAAUACAGCAACAACAAAAAGUUUUAAUAGAAAUACAAAAACAAAAAUUAAUUGAAAGGUGUCGGAAUUGAAUCACCGCUUGCAGAAAAAUUAUACUUAAGCGUAUUCCAGCAAUAUAAUAACAACAACCACUUCCAAUUGCUUGUUUCGUGUUUUGCGUUAGUGCUUGCAUUGGUGUUAGUGUUAUAUUUUUUGUGACUCGUGUGUGUGUAUAUAUUUUGUUUGUGUGUGUGUGUGUGUGCUACAGCAACGCAAUUAACCGCCGCCAACAAGCAAGCAAUCGCCAUUAACUAACUUAGUGGUCUGAAAUAACAAUCAUCAGCAACAACAACGACAACAACAACAACAACAUUUAUAAUCAUAACAAGCAACAACAAGGCGUGGCGACAAAAACGCUGGAAUUCCAAAGUCUCUUUGACGUUUGACGACCAAUAACGCGUUGCCGUUCUAAGCGCAAGCACAGAAGAAGCAGCAUUUCUUCAGCUUUGAAAGAAAUCGCUUAACGCUCCAAACGCUAAGUCACGCAACGCUUCAACUACCUACAUACAUACAUACUGAAACAAAUAAAUAAUAAUUUUUAUUGUGCUUGCAAACAACAACAACAAUAAUGGCUUAAAUAUGGAUAUUUCAAUUAUCACCUCCUCCGUUGCGGCCGAGUUUAGUGGCGGCGUAGCUGCCAAAUCGUUUGCCGCCGCCAAAAUGAAUUUCUCCGAAGCGAGCGCUCGAUUAUCGCUGGAAGACACGCUACACCAAAAAUGACAGGAAAGCAAUGAAUAUCUGAGACUUCAAUUGCAGAAUUUGACAAAAUAUAUUAAAACAUGUAGCAGUUUUUUGCAAAUGCAAAUAAACAACAAUAAAUAAAGUAAUAAUAAAGCAGAAAUAAAUGUAGCGAAAACGCACACUAAGCAAUCAGAAGAAAAACAACAAAGAAACCAAACAUAAAUACGCACAUUUGGCAAUAAGAGGCGUAGAGGACAGUGGAGCAGAGUAUAAAAUAUAAACAAAGCAAAGACACGAUAAAGUGAAUAAAGUCGCAGCAGCGAAUAACAUUAAAUUUGCUUUUUUUUUUUGAAGAAUACUUUCAAAGAAAAAGUGGAGAGCAAGGCGCGUAGGAGAAUAAUUUAUUUUGAACAAGUGAGAAAAGAAAAGCCUUCAAAAUUAAACGCAAUAAUAAGAAGAAACCCCACAGCAAUCAUUCAUCCAGUUUGAUGAAAAACAUGGACAAAAAUGCCGGCGGCGACGGCAGCGAUGGCAAAUCGGGUGUCGGCGUCGGUCUGGGUGGUGGCGGCAGUGGUAAGGCCGGCUCUAGCGCCAGUGGGGGCGGUGGAGCCGGAGUGCACGAUCCCUCCGCAUUGUUGGAUGCCGCCUCGCUAUUCGCUUAUUGGGGCCGUGAUCCAACAAGCGCUGCCGCAGCCGCUUCCAAUCCGCUAUUUAAUUCACAAUUUAAUGCUGCCGCAGCAGCCGGCUUGGGCUUGUUGCAGAAUCCGGCUAGUGCAGCAAAUGAUCGCUAUUCGAUAGCAGCUGCAGCAGCGGCCGCCGCGUCACAUCAUCAUCAGAACACCAUGGCAGUGGCGGCCUCUCAGGCGGCCAGUUUGGCUAGCCUGCAUCCUGCAAGUUGGUGGUCCAUGGCCCAACUGGCAGCUCAAGACUAUUUCACCCGCCUGCAAGCUUCCGGCCUCUCGCCGUUCGCACAUCCCGAUGUGAUGGCUGCAUUUGGUCCAGCAGCACUGGGUCUGGGUGGAGCGGCCGGUGCCGGUGGUACAGGAGUCAACAGCGCUGGUGGUGGUGUCGGUGCUUUGGGUGCCGGUGCGGGUGGCAGUAACGUGGGCAGUGGCAGCAGUUCAUCGUCGAGCAGCAAAUCAAGUAAAUCCCGCAAAGAGAAACGUCAGCAACAGCAGCAGGCACAACAACAGCAACAACAGAAUUUAGCUGCAGCUGCAGCGGCGGCAGCAGCAGCGGCUGUAAGUGCUAAUCCGGCGGCAGCUUUGGCUAGCAUGCAUGGCUUGGUGGGCGCGGGUGGUUCGCUUAAUCCCUCCUCGAUGGGCAUGGGCGGUAGUGGCAGUACUGGCAAUACCACGGGUGUCGGUGGCAGCAGCGGCGGCAGUAGUUCGUCGUACAAAUCGAGUUCAACCAACUAUAGUAAACCAUCUGUGAGUCCGGUUUUACCACCACCACCCGGUUCGGCGUACGAUCCAGUACAGCUACAUAAAGAAUUAUUGGCAAUGCAAGUGGCAGCCGCGUCUGGUGGCUCUUCCAGUUCCUCAUCGUCGAAGAAAUCCUCAUCACAUCAUCAUACACAGUCGCACCAGAGCAGCAACAACAACAGCAGUGGUGGUGGUGGCGGUGUAAGUGGUGGUAGCAGUGGCUUAGGUAUGUCCAGUGGCGCUUCCUCGUCACUUGGCGGCAGCAGCAGCAACAACUCCAAUAAAAACUCACCCAUGAGCAGUGUCGGCAAUGCGGCCAUGCAUCACUUGAGCGCUUUGGGUGGCAAUGUGGGCGGCAGCAAUUCCACAGCGCAUCACAUAAAUGCGUUAAUGUCGCCGCAUGGUUCAUUGGGCGGCAGCAGUGGCAUGGGUAGCGUUGGCAGUAAUAUGGGUGCUAGCAGUAGUGGUGGUAGCAAUAGUUCGGCUUCGAGCAGUAAAGCAGAACGUGACAAGAAUAACGCUUCGUUAAAUGCACUCAGCUCGCUUUCACAGUUCGGCGCACUCGGCAUGAGCCCACAGCAAAGCAUGCAGGCCGCAAUGAAUGCGUUUGCCGCAUCUAAUCCAGCAGCUGCAGCUGCAGCAGCAGCAGCAGCGUCGGCGGCGGUUGGUGGUGGCAAAGGUGGCAAAGAUUACAUGCCAAGUGGUAUACUCAGUGAUCAUCAAUCCUUGCUGGGUGUACGAUUGCCGCCCGACACGGAGAUCAUCAAGUAUACAUCAUCGAUUGUGGGACCUAAAAUACCCGGCACUACUUCACGUGGACGCAAGAAAACGAUUUCAGACGAACAACAACAGCAACAACAAUUACUCGCACAACAACAGCAACUGCAACAACAGCAAUUGCAAAAACAAGAGCUGGACGCCACAAAUGCGCUCUCCUCGCUGCUCUCCAUACCAGGUCUGAGUCCGGCUAAGCGAGCUCGCCUCGAAAUGGAGUAUGCAGCAAUGGCGGCAGCGGUGAAUGUAGCUCAACAGCAACAACACCAGCAGCAGCAGCAACAGCAACAACAGGCCCAGCAACAAGCACAGCAGCAACAACAACAGGCGCAACAACAAGCACAGCAGCAGCAACAACAGGCGCAGCAGCAGCAACAAGCACAACAACAAUUGCAACAACAGCACCAGCAUGCAUUAAAUGUAGCCGCAGCAAGCGGUUUUGGUGGCAUCGGUGUCGGUGGCACAAAUGCCACCACCGCAGCACAAGCAGCAGCAGCGGCGGCGGCUGCGGCAGCUGCGCUUGGACAAUUGAGUGGUCCGGCCGCAGCGGCAGCCUUAAGCGCCAGUGGACUUGGUAUGGGUGCACCGAUGGGCUUGCCCGGACUCGGCGGUUUGGGUGCUUUGAGUGGCGUUGGCGGUUUAGGCAACCCAUCCGGACGUUUGGAUGCGCACGCACUUGGCGCAACCACGCUAAGUGCCACGCCUAGCAAUAGUCGUGACUCAUCAACGGACCGUGUCGAAGUGAUAAAACUACCGCCAACAAUAACCUCGAACGGCGCCUACAAUCUAUCGAAUAAAAACAAAGACUUACUUGAUUUGACGGGAGACAAUAGUAGCGGUGCUGGUGUAAAUCUCAGCAUGAAAUCAUCCACCUCCACCGCUACGACCAAUGCCACAACAGCCGCCUCAGCGCUCAUCGGUACCGCGGCCAAUCCCAUAAUGAUCGAGGACUACGAUGCGCCAUUGAAUUUAUCAAUGAAACCGGCUGAUAAACAGAGUUCCUCCGCCUGCAUGUCAUCCUCAAUGGUGGGCGGCAGUAGCGACUACAGCAGUCCGGUGAAUAUGGGCGGUACCGUGGCAGUGCCUACGGGCAGCGGUGGUUCGAAUAGUUUGCAAAGCUUGACGUCGAUAACAGCAGCGCUGGGCGGUGGCAGUAGCACACCGCUGCCAGGUAGUGGCGCCAGCAGCAGUGGUGGCAAUGCGGGCAGUAGUGGUUCGGCCGGUUCCAGCAGCGGCGGUGGCGGUAGUGGUGGUGAACGUUCAGGGCAAACGCCUUUUAAGGAGGGGCGGCCACGCAAUCUCGGACGCGGCGUGUCGAAGCCGAAGAAAAACACCGUCGCUUCAUUGUUGGCACAGUCACGUGCAGUGGGCAUAAAACCAAUGCUAGCUACACAGCAGUUGCUGCAGCAAGGCGCUGAUUUGGAGAAAAUCCGACAGGCGUUAAAUGAAGCGAAUGCACAACUGGAUCUCUCGACCGAUUCCGAAAGCGUUGCCGCCGAAAGUGGGCUCUCUGAGUCGGAGAGCGAAGAUGCCAACAUUCUGAAUGUAACCGAACUACGUGUGCCACUCGACUUGGGCUGGAAGCGUGAGACGGUCAUACGUGGCCUAACGAAGGCGGGUCAAAUACGCGGCGAAGUCGUUUACUAUGCGCCCGGUGGUACAGUGCCGCUAAAGAACAUUGGUCAAGUGAUCUCUCAUUUGGAGAAGAAUCCAUCGAAGCUGACGCGUGACAAUUUCAGCUUUUCAUCGCGUGCUAUAGUCGGUUCAUUUCUACAGCCCGCACCACCGCCAUACGCCAACGACGGCGAGUACAUACGCAUGACCGACGAAGAUGUUGCUAAGCGUUUGGAGGAUUUGAAAAUUUUCACGCGCCAAACCUUGAAUGUGGAGCAACGCAUCGAAAUUGCUAAGCAACAGCAGGCCAUACGCGAUGCGAAGAAACAGCAAAAGGAGGAAAUGGCGCGCAACAAGGAAAAAGCACGGCAGGAAAAAAACGAGAAGCUUGAGCAGCAACGUAAAGAAAAGGAGUUAAAAAACCAGCAAAUGAUUGAGGCGCGCAAGAAGCGUCAAGAAGAACUAGAACGCAUCAAGCAAGAGGAGCUGCUCAAGAAACAACAGGAAAAAGAAAAGAAACGUCAAGAAGCUAUUUUAGCUAAAGAACAGGAACUCCAAAAACAAAAGGAAGCAUUACUUGCCGCCGAGAUGGAACGCGAACGCCGUCGUCAACAUAUGGCACUUGUGCGCCAGCUGGAGGCGCGCCGCAAGUUUGUCGAGCGUGAGAAGAAGAAGCAUCAAAUGAUUUUAGACCGUCUGAUAUUGCGUGAGAAGCGUAUGGCUAUACGAAAGCGUGAUUCUGAAAUUUUAGCACAAAUAAGAAAACCAAACGAGGACUCUGAAGUUGCACAUCCACACGAGUUACCCGAGCUGGAACGCAUCGGUGGAAAUCGUUUACCUGGUCAAGCUAUGGCCGAUCUACUAAUGGUAUUCGAAUUCUUGCAUAACUUUGGUGAAACCUUAGGAUUCGACAUGGAGUCACUGCCUAGCUUGCAAAACCUGCACGACGCACUGAUUAGUGACAGCAAUCCCGACGCUGAGGAGGAGCUGCUAUCUGUGAUGACUCAUCUGCUGGUGUGCGCCAUCGAAGACCCCGGUAUACCGAAUCCGGGUCGACACACCACACUGCUCGGACAAUCGUUGCGUAACGCCGACAUUACCAAUUCGAAUGUUUCGGAGAUACUACGCAUUUAUCUGUAUGCCACCGCUACUGGUGAGAUACGUCAACUGCACGGCAUAACCAUGGAUCGUGAGCGCGAGCGUCGCAUACCCGAUCAUCAUCAGGUGGACGCCGAAACCGCUUCGCAUUCAGGCAAAAAUGCCGAAUACUACAAAUUAUUACAUGAAAAUGAAACUUGGAAAUUAUCACAUUCGCUCAAGAAUCGUCCGUUUGUCGCAUUGAAUCCCACACGCAAAGCACAAAUACUCGCCCAUCUCUGCAAUGACCUGCUAAUGAACAAGGCGGUGCUGAAGCAGAUCGAUGGCAGCCUAGAGACAUGCGCACAAAUGCGCAAAGAGAAGUACAUGACCGACAUGAAGGUGCGCAAAUAUAAGGCGCUGCAUCAACGCAAGGCGCGCAUUGAGGCGUACGAGAAGGCGCAGGCCGAACGCGAGGCGGCAAUGCAAGCAGCCAUUGCCGCGCAGCAGAAAGCCGAUGCCGAGCGUAUGCAGAAGGAGGCGGAGGCCGCAGCGGCAGCCGCUGAAGCUGCAGCGAAUGCCGUCGCGGCAGCGACCACUAAUGCUACGACAGAGAAGCAGAGUGAAGAGAAGGAUGACGACAGUGGCAGCGGCGCAGUAGUUGAUGGCGCUAACGGCGGCGAAACGCUUGUCAGCAGUAACACUAAUAAUGUCUCACCCGCUGGCGCGGAACAUAAUAAUAACAACAGCAGCGGCGUCACCAAUAAUGGUGAGCAUCACAACAAGGAUGAUAAUGAUAUAGCAACGGCACAUGUCGAGAAAAUGGACGUUGACGGCGAUGUGUCCAUCAUUAAUAAUUGCGAUGAAUCAAACACCAUGAAAGCCGAAAAAGAGAAUCAGUCACUACCUUUGUGCGCCGACGCAAGCGCUGCAACAAUUGUUGGCGUGAAUAAUCUGGCAGAUCCAACGCUGCCACAUGCGUUGCCGACGCCAACGUUACCCAACGUCUUCGACGGUCUAAAGUACGAUGUGAGCCCCACAAAAGGCUACAACAGCGAUAACGCGGUGACGCCCAGCAAGCAACCCAAGUUAGAUGAGUCCAUCGUUGGUGUGCCAGCCUAUCAGAAUGGCAUCGCCAGCAUGCCAACCGGUUUGUCCGGCGUUUGCGCUACAACAGCAAUGGCACACGCAGCAACGCCGUCUGAUUUGACUAAUCUGUUGCCAAAAAAGACGGGCAACGAUGAGCAGACAAUGCCGACCGAUGUGGGCUUGGACGAUGAUCUCAGCGACUUGGAAUCGGAGAUUACAAAUGUAGAGGAAGACGAGGACAAUCGUUUGAGCGCGGAUGAGCUACAGAAAAAGCUCGAUAAGAUAUUACGCGCGUCCAUGAAUUGCAAAGAGUUGCUGGAGAAGAGCACGAAUCAGCUGCGCGCCACAUGUUUUGGACAAGAUCGUUUCUGGCGACGCUAUUGGAAGUUGCCGAAAGCAGGCGGUAUUUUCAUCGAAGCAUUGGAAUCUGCACAGAAUGAUAUAUUCCACUAUCAGGAAAUUUUGGAGUUGGAAGCGGAAGAGGCGCGUGCCGCUAAACUGUUGAAUGGCGAAAGUGAGGCUAAACAGGAAUGCAAAGAGGAGGACGGCGAAGAGGCUGAUGAGGAGGGUGCAGAUACAGAGAAUGCUGACGAAGGCGCUGAGGUCGAUUGCAACAAGGAGAGUGGGAACAUAUGUAAAACUGAUGACGAUGCAGGCAAAUGUGUGGAGAGCACAGCUACAACUUUACCUGUGAAGGAGACAGAUGAAAAAAUGCAAAUCGAUGACAUAGCCGACGUGACCACAACUGUGACCAAUCCAACUGUCAUAAACACCAGCAACAACACCAAUGGCGAUGUCUGCAACAUGACGCCAGCUGCAGUGAUAGACGAUGACGACGACGACGUCGUGCUAACUAGCAAAGACGAACCGGAGAUUGUAGAUUUGCGCGAUGAUGAUGACGACGAUGAUGACGUCGUGCAUACCGCCACAAUACCGGCGCCGAAGCGCAUGGACAUCGAUGUGGACAACUAUGGCUUGAGUAAAAAGCCACAUGUCGACGCAGCCACCAUCUCCACCAAGACCGACUUCGAGGCCGAGAUCAAAAUACCAGCCAUACCAGCGCAAUUCAAUGCAGCAAUUGCCGCCGCUGCUGCUGCUGCCGCAGCCGCUGCAGCUGCAGCCAAUGCCAACGCCACGGCGGCAAAUGUUAUCGGCGAAAAAAACUGUGAUAAAAAUGAGUUUGCAAUGUUGUCGCCGUCAGCGUCUGGCUCAGCGUCGCCGAUGACGAUGCCAACACCGACAUCAACACCUAUGCCGAUGCCAAUGCCAUUACCGAUGUCGCUGCCAGCAGUAACGGGAUUACCAGGCAACGCCAACAACACAAUCGUCAGCUGCAGCAACAGCAACAUUAUCAACUCUAUGAUGACCAGCGUUCCAGGCAAUGCUGCUGGUAGCAUUGGCGUCACGGAUGUGAGCAGCACAACAGCAGCCAUUAUCGAUAGCGUUGUGAAGGCCGAGGACUUAAAGAAGGAGGAUGACUGCAUUAUCGUGUCGGCCACGAGCGCCGAUGACGCCCUCUUCAAACAGCCGGUAAAUGUCUCAGAUAAGUGGUUUUCGAUACUCGAUCGCGAAUUGCCAUUGAUGUCGACCGAGCCGAUGGAUGAAGCCAGCCUCAAAGAGUACAAGAUGUCUAUCGCAAAUAUCUCAUGCGACUCUCUCUUCCAGACACAGGGCCAUCCGUGGGAGGUGCAGAAUGUCGUGCCGUUCUUCAACGUAACACUGGACGAAUGCAAAGUGGAUCCAACAAAAUUCGUGCAGGAAUGCAUACUAUCGCUUUCCGGUAUAGACGAGAAACAAAUGGAGACGAAGUUACGUGAAUAUGAGCAGAAAAUGCUUAUAGCAGCAAACGCGGCCGCCGAAGGCACCGAUGCAGAUACAGUGUUGGCAUCACCGGCGGACUCAAAAAACUGCCUAGAGUCUCCUCGUCAGCGAUUGAAGAGUGAGGAUGCCGCGGAGAGCGGUGAUGAGGAGGAAGAGGAUGAGCAAAAGUACGAAAGCGACUGCAAACCAUCCACAUCAGCAGCAGCUGCUGCGAAAUCAACAACAACGCCAGCCAUCAAAACAGACGCCGUGAAAAGUGAGGAGCAUGAAGAGGAACGCGCGGAAGAGAAGAAGUUUCUUCCAUAUUUGAAUGAUACAAAAGCCGAGAGCGGUGUUGAGUGUAAGCCGAACAAAGAAACCAACGAUGCUGCCAACGGUGAAGCCAAAGAGCACGACUUCAACACGGUCAGACUGGAAAUACGCAUGGACGACAUCGCCGGCAUGUCUAUACAGAAUUUAGCCAAUAUGUCACUGCAAAAUCUCACCACAUUCCUGCAAUACGACGUGCAAACGCCGCUUUCAAUGACACCGGAAGAGCAAAAGCUAUUAGAGGAAGUAAAAAAAGAAGGUUUUCCCAAAAAAUUGGUCGGUGCAUAUGUACCACGUGAUCUACGCUACGGCUGGUGGAAGAUCGACACUUUCGAAAUGUUGCAACGCGUCAUCGAUUCGCUCGAUCCGAGCGGUUUACGCGAACGCGACCUACAAGAGAAUCUCUUGCGUUUCAUGCAACAAGAAGAUCCGCCCACCAUCGGCAUCAAAUAUCCACUUGCAAGCAAACCCGGCGAAGAUGUGCCAUACAUGCAACCGGACAAACGACACGAUUGGAAUCCAAAGAUUGCCAAACGCACCGAACUCGCGCUGCUCGAUCAACUCGAAGCUUUGGAGGACAAAAUCGCCAGCGCCUCUAUGCAACUGAAGAAUUGGCAGCUACCGCCGCGCAUUGAAAACGAAAUCAAUCUAGAACUGGAAGAUAUCACCGAAGAAGAUUUCAUCAGCAUCAUACCAAUGAUACGUGAACGCAUCAUCGAUCUGGAGGCGAACAUUGAGCGUCGCUACUUGAAACCGCCGCUCGGCUCGCAAACAGGUGACGCGCAUUUGGCGGUCAUCGCACAAAAUCAGCACACCACCACACAGACACAGAACUCUGCUGCUGCUGCGGCGUUUCUCCUGCAAAUGCAACAACAACAAGCUGCUGCUGCCCAACAACAACUGAUCAAUAUGCAAACGCAACAAACACAGAAUGUCAUCAACGCUUCGGCCUUCAAUGAGCGCGCCAUGGCCAUAGCGGCUGCAAAUGCUGCCGCAGCCGCUGCUGCCGCUGGCAAUGCGAGCGGCGAUGCUGCGGGCGGUCACACAGCCAAUACGAGCGGCAACAAUUCGGGCGGCGACUCGCCGGCGAGCAAUUGUGAUAGUGAGAAGGACGAGAAGGUGGAGAAUAUACCCAAAGGCUUGGCUUCGUGGCGCGAUGCGGUCGCGCGUUCGCACACCACAGCGCAGCUGGCGAUGGCGCUCUACGUGCUGGAGUCGUGUGUCGCCUGGGACAAGAGCAUAAUGAAAGCGACCAAAGCUAAAGCGAACAAGUCGACAAAAGAUAAAAAAUCCAAAAGUAGCAAAAAUGAACCGCCUCCAAAAGCCAAAUCCACAAAAAAGAAGCAAGACAAAGCGCCUGCGCAGCCCACACCGCGUUCCACACCAACCAGCGUACUAACCAAAGCGGCAAAGAAAGGCGCUAACCAAGACAAGACGCCAGCAAGCGCAAAACGCGCCGAAACGUACAGCAAGCGAAAGCGUGAAAGUCCCGCGCCACAAGCGAUGAACUCCAACGCGUCAAAAGCAAGCAAAAAAGCAAAGACGCAAACUACAACAGCAGCGGCAGCGCAAUCACCAAAGACGCAAACUACACCGUCCUCACGUUUCAGGUAUCAACGCAAAGCCAAGACACCCACCACUGGCUAUGUGAUCAGCUACGUCGAGCCACCAAGUCCGUUCAGCGAGGACACACCGGUGGAGGAGGAGUCUAGCAACAGCAGCGCAAGUGUGCAUGAGGCGCCAGCAAACGUGACAAGUGAGGAGCCGGAGCGCACCAAAACAAAAGUUAACGACGACGCGCGGCAGCCGAGCACGCCGAAGUCACAUAAGCGCGCCAAAUCGCACAAGCAUAAGAAGCGCAAGAAGAAGAAGCAUGAACUGGGCUCACAAAGUGAAGAGGAAGCCGACGUGACGUUGAGUGGUUCACCGGCGAAGGCAUCGCGUAUGAACGGCGUAGUGAUCGCUACGAGUUGCGUCGAGAACGGCGGCGGCAGUUUGAAUGGCGCCGAGUCCACCGGUGGCGCUAAUCAGCAUGGCAAUGUCAAUGGCGCUAAGCCGCCGCUAACCACGACAAUCAAGUUCAAUGUGAAAGCGCAAAAUGAGAAUAAUGCGAAGAAGACGAGAAGCUCUAGCAACAAAAAGCACAAGCGGCGCAGAUAAGACUGAGCUCAAGGCGCAAAGGGCGCGAAAGGCGGCGCAAUCAAAUUUCUAAAUUGCAAAUAAAAGCACAAAUAAAAAAAGUACAAAAACAACUAAAAAACAAACAAAGGAAUUGAACCAAAAAAUUACUCGGGGCUUUUAGCUAUACACUUUCGAAAAUACUCGGUUUAUUUUAAAGUAAAACACUUUCAUUAUGAAAUCUAACAGUAACAACAACAGCAACAACUGUAGUAAAGAAUAGCGUUAAGGCAAAUGGUAUUCACAAUAAUAUAAAACAACAAAUAUAGCGUUUAAAAGCAAAGCAAAACAAAACAAACAAAAACAACAAUUUAGGUAACUGCCACUUGCUCAAGUGUGUCUGUCUGUAUGUAUGUAUGUGUGUGUACACUUGCAACUGUGCAACUACAACAACAUAACAAACAGCAUAUAACAACAAUUUGAUCUUCUUCUUCUUCCACCACGCAUCUUCCAUCUUCUACGCACGCUCUUCCAUAUUAUUACAGUAUUGCCAGUUUUGCACAUCUGGCGAGAACGAGGAUAAAUUACUGUUAUGCGACGGUUGCGACAAAGGCUAUCACACCUACUGCUUCAAACCGAAAAUGGACAAUAUACCCGACGGUGAUUGGUAUUGCUAUGAGUGCGUCAAUAAGGCGACGAACGAACGCAAAUGUAUCGUCUGCGGUGGCUUGCGGCCUUCACCUGUUGGCAAAAUGAUCUAUUGCGAUUUGUGUCCGCGCGCCUAUCAUGCCGACUGCUACAUACCGCCGCUGUUGAAAGUGCCACGCGGCAAGUGGUACUGUCACGGUUGCAUCACGAAGGCGCCGCCGCCGAAGAAGCGUACGAGCAGUAAACCGCGACGUGAUCGUGACUCCUCGAAGCGACGCGAUCGUCAUAGCAAUUCAUCGACGUCAUCGAAUAUAGACAUACAACAACAACAGCAACAACAUCAACAUCAGCAACAACAUCACCAACAUCAACCACAACAUCAGCAACAGCAACACCAAUUACAGCUACAACAACAGGCUGCGGUUCUAGCGCAGGCGCAGGCCAUGGCAGCUGCCUCGGCGGAACACCACCUGCACAAUUCAUCACAGCUAUCGCUGAAUUCGUCGCAUGACGAAUCGAUGACCUCGUUACCAACGCCGCUCAGUCCGGCGCAUUCGAUUGCUUCCACCUCAUUCGAUGAACAGCAGCACAAUAACUCGAUUGACGCGACGCGUUUUCAGCAUCAACAUCAGCAACAGCAACAACAACAAAUGGUUGGUGGUAAUGCUGCCGCUUUGGCAGUGGGUAUGCAUGUUGGCGCUGGUGUAGGUAUAGGCGCACCAACAACAAUGUUGCCAGAUGUUAGUGGCGCAACGCCGCUAGUGCACAACCACCUACUCGGUGCUCAUUUGACGAACAACGAGUACGCGACAACAGAUGGCUGCAUAGAUGGCGCUCCGGCAGCAGCAACUGCUAUGUUAAAUCCCAUGACUGGCAGCGUCCUCCCGCUCGCGCCGCCUAUUUUCAAUAGCGCGGCACCAAGCGGUUAUGCAGCACCACCAUCAUCACAGCUGCCGCAAACUCCACACGCACCACUAUCAGCCAGUGGCGCGUUGCUACCACACGUAACGCCAUCCAACCUGCCAACAGUAAGUAGCGCGGCUGGUGGCGCGCCUACAGUGCCCGUCAACUAUAUGGCGCUGACAGCCAGUCAGCAGCAGCACUUCGCACAGCUGCAAAUGAACAGUAAUGGUGGCGUGCAGUUGCCACCGCCAUCGUCACCAUACAAUGCAGCCGCGCAAUCGCCGCUUCCGCCGCCCACAUUACUGCCGCCCACCAGCGUUCUCAGCACAUCGCCACAACCAGCCACAACACUACCGCUCAUUAUGCCGCCAACUGGCAUGGUUCAACAACAACAACAACAGCCGCAAUUGUCGCCGCUGCUACAAUCAUCGAUUUUGUCGCCACAACACAGCAGCAAUCAUGCGACGUCCACCAACAUGCACUCGCCGCGUGCCAGCACGCCAACACAACACUCACCGCAAACGGUUGGACACCACUCGCAGUCACAAUCGCCGGCCGCUCAUCAGUUUGGCGGCCUUUCGCCAAUGAGCCAAUGCGGUACACCACAACCACCACCGCCGCCUCCGCUAAAUAUACACGCGGUGCAGGAGGCGAAAGAUAAGCUGAAGCAGGAGAAGAAGGAGAAGCACGCAACCAAGAAGCUGAUGAAGGAGUUGGCCAUAUGCAAAACAUUGCUUGGCGAAAUGGAGUUACACGAAGAUUCGUGGCCAUUUUUGCUGCCAGUGAAUACCAAACAAUUUCCGACCUAUCGUAAGAUAAUUAAAAAUCCCAUGGACUUGUCCACAAUCAAGAAACGCUUACAGGACUUGACCUAUAAAAGUCGCGAAGACUUCUGCGUCGACGUCCGUCAAAUUUUUGACAACUGUGAAAUGUUCAAUGAGGAUGACUCGCCGGUCGGUAAGGCGGGUCACGGCAUGCGCAAAUUUUUCGAACUGCGCUGGGCUGAGUUGACCGACAAGCACUCAUGAUAUCAAAUGCAUCACCACCUCAAGUAUUCUAGUGAUUAAGUGAACACAAAGCUGAAGAAGAGAGAAGCAAAAAUUAAAUCUAAAUUCAAAAAAUUAUGCGGAGCAGUGAAAAUAGAAGAGAGUAAAUGUUAGUAGAAGGCAGAAAAAAAUCAUAUGAAAAA